ensembl:rRNA 5S_rRNA 5S ribosomal RNA
UGCCACAGCCAUAUCGCCCUGCAACCCACGACCAGUUACUCACUGAAGCUAAGCAAGGCUGAGGCUGGUCAGUAUCUGGAUGGGAGAUCACAUGGGAUAACCAGGUUACUGUUGGAG